GACGAACCGUCCAAACGUUAUUCGGAAUUACUGGGCGUAAAGGGCUCGUAGGCGGCCAACUAAGUCAGACGUGAAAUCCCUCGGCUUAACCGGGGAACUGCGUCUGAUACUGGAUGGCUUGAGUUUGGGAGAGGGAUGCGGAAUUCCAGGUGUAGUGGUGAAAUGCGUAGAUAUCUGGAGGAACACCGGUGGCGAAGGCGGCAUCCUGGACCAACACUGACGCUGAGUGAGCGAAAGCCAGGGGAGCAAACGGG
rnacentral:rRNA from 1 species